AAGAAGUCAGGCCGGAUUAAGCCAUAGUACGGUAAGAGCUAUGCUGCCUGUGAGCCCCGUCUAAGGACGUAAAAUGAAGUCAGGCCGAAAGCCACGGUUUGAGCAAACCGUGCUGCCUGUAGCUCCAUCGGUGGGGAUGUAAAAACCUGGGAGGCUGCAACCCAUGGAAGCUGUACGCAUGGGGUAGCAGACUAGUGGUUUAGAGGAGACCCCUCCCGAAACACAACGCAGCAGCGGGGCCCAACACCAGGGGAAGCUGUACCCUGGUGGUAAGGACUAGAGGUUAGAGGAGACCCCCCGCAUAACAAUAAACAGCAUAUUGACGCUGGGAGAGACCAGAGAUCCUGCUGUCUCUACAGCAUCAUUCCAGGCACAGAACGCCAGAAAAUGGAAUGGUGCUGUUGAAUCAACAGGUUCU
rnacentral:lncRNA from 1 species